GGAAAAACUAACCUGAUGCUCCAAACCAGUGGAAGACCAAAAUGUGCUGAUUUUCUAUUGCCAUGGAGAGUUAUUUGGACGAGAGAAGCCCUGUUACUUGAUAAAUAAAGAUUGAAAAAAACUAAUUCCUCUUUAGUCCAUGGGGGUUCAAGUUGUACUUGACUCACACC
rnacentral:lncRNA from 1 species